UUUUUUUCCUUCUUCUUCUUUUUU
rnacentral:sRNA from 1 species